rnacentral:rRNA from 1 species
GUGGGGAAUAUUGGACAAUGGGCGCAAGCCUGAUCCAGCCAUGCCGCGUGAGUGAUGAAGGCCCUAGGGUUGUAAAGCUCUUUCGCCGGUGAAGAUAAUGACUGUAGCCGGUAAAGAAGCCCCGGCUAACUUCGUGCCAGCAGCCGCGGUAAUACGAAGGGGGCUAGCGUUGUUCGGAAUUACUGGGCGUAAAGCGCACGUAGGCGGACAUUUAAGUCAGGGGUGAAAUCCCGGAGCUCAACUCCGGAACUGCCUUUGAUACUGGGUGUCUCGAGUAUGGAAGAGGUAAGUGGAAUUGCGAGUGUAGAGGUGAAAUUCGUAGAUAUUCGCAGGAACACCAGUGGCGAAGGCGGCUUACUGGUCCAUUACUGACGCUGAGGUGCGAAAGCGUGGGGAGCAAACAGGAUUAGAAACCCGAGUAGUCC